AGCACAUAUUUCACACUGCAUCAUGCAUUGUCAUUGGUGCAGCCUGUUUCAAGAAGAGAGCUCUGAAAUGGAGAAACACUGCAGCAACUUUCUCUUCUCUUCCAGAAUUAGUCCUUCCAUAUUAACAUGUUGUCUCAGAGCAAAAAAUACUAUACUGCUGAGGAAGUUGCAAGUAAUACAGAGGAAAAGGUAUUGGAAUGUGCCUUUUCUGGCUGUCAUCUAUCCAAGCAGCCAUCAUGCUGUCUCCAAAGACCAGUAGUAUCUGGGAUCUCCUUUCCCAGAAAGGCUGAUUAGCUCUCUCUCAGWGCCAAACCGAAGCUGCGUCCAUUCAGUUGCACCUACAGCACCAGCCCUCUCACAGAUAAGUUCUAAUGGACUAGUCUGACUGCGCAGUCACUUAUCACAUCGUGACCCCCAUUAUUAAUACACAGUGAGAUAUCACGCUGUCUCUCUACAUUAUUCGUUUGGUCUCCUAUCACAGGAAUGCGGCUACUUUGCUUUCAGAUGUGACCUGGCUCUGCACGCAGUUUAGUCAAAUUUGUAUAGUGCUACUUUGACAGGUGAGACCUGCAGGAUCUCACCUGUAAGACUAGUGAGUUCUGCAUAUGCCAGCUCAUGUGCAUCUGUGGCUUCGUUAAUUGCGAUUUGGGUAAACAAACCCUAGAUAAUUGUCUUAGACAGAAGUGGUCAUGUGCUGAUCAAGUUUAACAUGAGAGUAACCUCUCCUAAAGGCUCCAGAACUAGUUAAUUCAAAAAGGAGGAGAUUAUCAUUUACUCCAAAGCAUGUCUUUAUGUGAAACAUUACUUCAUAGGAUAUUCCUACUGGUCUUUAAGACUUAUCUGCAACUUUAACUUUCUUUUAGUAUUAUACACUAUCCCUCUCCUUCCCCCUCCGGUGAGGUACAUUGGUACUAUAGCCUUUCAAAGGCAUUUAUAACUUUAGGAAUUGAGAUUUUCAUUGUUUUAAAUUUUGAAAUACACUCUCUUCAGACAUAAAUGCCAUUAAGCAACUGAAUACUGUUACACAGCCUGUGGAUCACAAUGCUGCUCCUCUAAGCACACAGAAUCAGUUCCAACUAAAAUGUGUUGGGGUUUGAGGCACRUAUAUUUAUUUGGGAUCCCCAUGAUCUGUCCAUGUAUCCCAGCUCUUAAGCUCCAUUUAAGUGAUUGCAGCUCCUAUCUGCUUUAUCAGAGGGAAUGUGACAGAAGAGUAGCAGAAAGUCCUCCUUUUGCUGCCUGAGUAAGCAGGAAUAGUGACA
rnacentral:lncRNA from 1 species